rnacentral:rRNA from 1 species
GACGUAGGGUGCGAGCGUUGUCCGGAAUUACUGGGCGUAAAGAGCUCGUAGGUGGUUUGUCGCGUUGUUCGUGAAAACUCACAGCUUAACUGUGGGCGUGCGGGCGAUACGGGCAGACUGGAGUACUGCAGGGGAGACUGGAAUUCCUGGUGUAGCGGUGGAAUGCGCAGAUAUCAGGAGGAACACCAGUGGCGAAGGCGGUGGUCUGGGCCGAUCCUGACGCUGUAGAGCGAAAGCGUGGGGAGCGAACAGG